rnacentral:misc_RNA from 1 species
AACUUCCGGACUCUCGAAAUAAAAAUGGAAACCAACUUUCAUUUUCCGGCAACUUUGCUGGACGCAUCUUUAUUUACGUUCGUUGUAUUAAGGUAAAACCAUUGAAAAUUGUCAACAUGUCUGACGUAAUGGAUUUGGAGUGCCCUUCAUGUGGCGAGAGAGCCAUCAUGAAGGACUAUCACGGAACAGAUGAGCAUUAUGUUUGUGUUGAAUGUGGGUUUCUCCUCGAAAGUUCUGGUUUGGUUUCAUCAAAAUAUGAUGUUGGAGGUGAAAUUAAACAGUUUGUUCCGUCCAAAGCUGAUCACUCAAAGGCCUCUAAAUGUCCAGGAUUUCAAAAUUUGGUAUCUUACUUGGAAACAAUUUGUCUUCUGCUGAAAGUCUUACCAGAAAUUGAAGAACUUGCUAAGGACCAUUUCAACACAUUAUACAAUUUACAUGUUGUGAAAUAUAAAGGUAUGGAAUCAAAGGAGUAUUUAGCCCUUGGUUGUGUCUACAUCAGCUGUCGGCAGCACAAUGCUCUGUACACCCUGCUGGAGAUUGCUAAGCUGGCCAGGUGCAAUGUAUUUAAUCUUGGCAAUGCUUACAAGACUGCCAUACAGUUACUUGGACUGAGUCUGGAACAAUCUGGAAUCGGUGCUCUGAGCCGGCAGCUGUUCUCGCAGUCGAAUCUGACAGUCGCUGUUAUUUCUCGGGCUCAUGAGUUGCUUCAUCUCAGCAACAAAUUUUGGUUGGUCAGUGGGAGGAAUCCAGUUGGGUUAUUGCUGGCUGUUUCAUAUAUAUCGUGGAAAACUGAGAAACCUGUGGAACGGUGCAAAAUAUCUGCUCAGAAAUAUUGCAAAGAACACAAACUGACUUUCUCUCCGAUGGUGAAGCAAAGAAUUGGUGAAAUUGAGAAAGUGUUGUUCCAUCUCGCUCUGGAAUUGCCUUGGGUGAAAACGGAGCCAAUCAAAGAACGGCUACCGUUUCUAGUGAAUGAUAUACUUAAUUAUCAGAAGUCUUUGAUUCUGGAAAUGGAAAGAAACAUAAAUAAUGAAAAAAACAGUGAAGAACAAUUUCCGUUCAUUUCCAAAAAUAAUUAUGGAGAAAUUCUUCCCCCUAUUAUGAAGAAAAAAGUGAAAAAGGUUGAAGAAUCUGAACCUUAUUCAGUUGCCUUAGUUACUUGCUGUGACGAAAGUGACAGUGAAGAUCUCGACCAACUUGAUGUAGAUGACUACAUCAAGUCGGAGAAAGAGAUUGAAGCUUUGAAGAACUUAGAAUGAAAAGAAGUUCUUGUAGAGGAAAUAAGUCUGGUAUUUUCUGAGAGUUGCAUGCAUGUGGUUGGGUCUUGAUGGCCGUCAGAUUAGCAGAAAGGGAUCCAGGUUCUAUCACUGAUGCUUACAACAGACAAUUUCAUUACCCUGGGUCAAAUUAAUCUUUUAUCAGCUAAAUGCUACAGAAACUGGAGAUUUAGAAUAUAGCUAUAGUACCAAUUGUUGUGGUUCAGAAUAUGAUGAAAUCAAUAUAUGUGAGAGAUGAUUCUAUUGUGCCUGUGACUGAGCAAAGGAGCUCCGAUAUAGUUGCUCUACUUGCUA